GUGGGGAAUAUUGGGCAAUGGGCGCAAGCCUGACCCAGCAACGCCGCGUGAAGGAAGAAGGCUUUCGGGUUGUAAACUUCUUUUACCAGGGACGAAACAAAUGACGGUACCUGGUGAAUAAGCCACGGCUAACUACGUGCCAGCAGCCGCGGUAAUACGUAGGUGGCGAGCGUUAUCCGGAUUUAUUGGGUGUAAAGGGCGUGUAGGCGGGACAGCAAGUCAGAUGUGAAAACCAGAGGCUCAACCUCUGGCCUGCAUUUGAAACUGUUGUUCUUGAGUGUCGGAGAGGUAAUCGGAAUUCCGUGUGUAGCGGUGAAAUGCGUAGAUAUACGGAGGAACACCAGUGGCGAAAGCGGCUCUCUGGUCUGUAACUGACGCUGAGGCUCGAAAGCGUGGGGAGCAAACAGGAUUAGAUACCCGAGUAGUCC
rnacentral:rRNA from 1 species